AUUGAACGCUGGCGGCAUGCCUUACACAUGCAAGUCGAACGGUAACGGGCCUUCGGGUGCCGACGAGUGGCGCACGGGUGAGUAAUACAUCGGAACGUGCCCGAUCGUGGGGGAUAACGAGGCGAAAGCUUUGCUAAUACCGCAUACGAUCUACGGAUGAAAGCAGGGGACCGCAAGGCCUUGCGCGGACGGAGCGGCCGAUGGCAGAUUAGGUAGUUGGUGGGAUAAAAGCUUACCCAGCCGACGAUCUGUAGCUGGUCUGAGAGGAUGAUCAGCCACACUGGGACUGAGACACGGCCCAGACUCCUACGGGAGGCAGCAGUGGGGAAUUUUGGACAAUGGGCGCAAGCCUGAUCCAGCCAUGCCGCGUGCAGGAUGAAGGCCUUCGGGUUGUAAACUGCUUUUGUACGGAACGAAAAGCCUUCUUUUAAUACAGGAGGGUCAUGACGGUACCGUAAGAAUAAGCACCGGCUAACUACGUG
rnacentral:rRNA from 1 species